CAUCCUUCCUUCUUGCCUUCCCACUUUCUUUCUUUUUGCCUUUACGUUUUCUCAGAUCUUCCUUCUCUCCAUUCCAUAUUUCCAUUCCUUGUCUCACUUUGGCUUCCUCUUCUCACUUUCACUUCUUUCCCUUCUUCCACAUCUUUUGCUUGUUCCUGUCUUUCCACACUAUACUCUUUCCUUUCCCACUUUCUUCAAUACUCUCGCUCACUUACCUCGGUUUCGACCAAAACUAUCGUAUUUUUAGGGGUUAUUUUCAGAUACGCUCAAAGAUGACAUGGCACACUUCUUGCAGAGUAUAGGAUAAUUAACAAGGUCUACAGACAAAGCUGGGAACUAGAGUCUCAAAAUGGAACUUAACUUAUUCAGAUAAAAAAGACCACAGGACAGUUAAUACCAUUUCAUAGCAAAGAGAAAUCCAAGAUACGAGAAAUAAAGAGAACCGCAAUCUUUGAAAAGGAGGCUAUAACCGACUAACCGUCGUCCAUUUCGGUCGCAUUGACUUUAUGGAAUCUGGAAAAAGAGCAAAAAAGAUUGGAUGAUGAAUAAU
rnacentral:lncRNA from 1 species